rnacentral:rRNA from 1 species
CCUACGGGUGGCAGCAGUGAGGAAUAUUGGUCAAUGGGCGCGAGCCUGAACCAGCCAAGUCGCGUGAGGGAAGACGGUCCUAUGGAUUGUAACCUUCUUUUGUCGGGGAGCAAAAGACGCCACGCGUGGCGUUCCGAGAGUACCCGAAGAAAACGCAUCGUCUAACUCCGUGCCGGCAGCCGCGGUAAUCCGGAGGAUGCGCGCGUUAUCCGGAUGUAUUGGGUUUAAAGGGUGCGUAGGCGGAGUGCCAAGUCAGCGGUAAAAGCGCGGGGCUCAACCUCGCUCCGCCGUUGAAACUGGCGGUCGUGAGUGGGCGAGAGGUAUGCGGAAUGCGUGGUGUAGCGGUGAAAUGCAUAGAUAGAACGCAGAACUCCGAUUGCGAAGGCAGCAUACCGGCGCCAAACUGACGCGGAAGCACGAAAGCGUGGGUAUCGAACAGGAUUAGAUACCCCUGUAGUC